UGGUUUUUUUGGAACCAAUUAUACACCAUUCUUUAGAUUUUAACUUCUAUGUAAAUCUAAGAGUUUUUUGCUUUUUGAGAAGCCAUAUCUUUCCUCAAAUAAAAGGAGAGGGAGUCCCUCUAUGCAAAAUAACAGAAAUAGGAGCCUCUUUCAAUUUUUUUUCUUCCUCAUAGGUGGGACAUGAAAAAGUCCCCGUGUAACUC
rnacentral:lncRNA from 1 species